ACGAACGCUGGCGGCGUGCUUAACACAUGCAAGUCGAACGCUGAAGCACCAGCUUGCUGGUGUGGAUGAGUGGCGAACGGGUGAGUAAUACGUGAGUAACCUGCCCUUGACUCUGGGAUAAGCCCGGGAAACUGUGUCUAAUACUGGAUGCUACAUGUCACCGCAUGGUGGUGUGUGGAAAGGGUUUACUGGUCUUGGAUGGGCUCACGGCCUAUCAGCUUGUUGGUGAGGUAAUGGCUCACCAAGGCGACGACGGGUAGCCGGCCUGAGAGGGUGACCGGCCACACUGGGACUGAGACACGGCCCAGACUCCUACGGGAGGCAGCAGUGGGGAAUAUUGCACAAUGGGCGAAAGCCUGAUGCAGCGACGCCGCGUGAGGGAGGACGGCCUUCGGGUUGUAAACCUCUUUCAGCAGGGAAGAAGCCACAAGUGACAGUACCUGCAGAAGAAGCGCCGGCUAACUACGUG
rnacentral:rRNA from 1 species